rnacentral:rRNA from 1 species
CGAUUAGAGUUUGAUCCUGGCUCAGGAUGAACGCUGGCGGCGUGCUUAACACAUGCAAGUCGAACGAGCCUUCGGGCUAGUGGCGGACGGGUGAGUAACGCGUGAGAAUCUGCCCUCAGGAGGGGGAUAACGGCUGGAAACGGCCGCUAAUACCCCAUAUGCCGCGAGGUGAAAUGAGAAAUCGCCUGAGGAUGAGCUCGCGUCUGAUUAGCUAGUUGGUGGGGUAAGAGCCUACCAAGGCAUCGAUCAGUAGCUGGUCUGAGAGGAUGAUCAGCCACACUGGGACUGAGACACGGCCCAGACUCCUACGGGAGGCAGCAGUGGGGAAUUUUCCGCAAUGGGCGCAAGCCUGACGGAGCAACGCCGCGUGAGGGAUGAAGGCCUCUGGGCUGUAAACCUCUUUUCUCAAGGAAGAAGAACUGACGGUACUUGAGGAAUAAGCCACGGCUAAUUCCGUGCCAGCAGCCGCGGUAAUACGGGAGUGGCAAGCGUUAUCCGGAAUUAUUGGGCGUAAAGCGUCCGCAGGCGGUCUUGAAAGUCUGUUGUUAAAGCGUGGAGCUCAACUCCAUUUCAGCAAUGGAAACUAGAAGACUAGAGUGUGGUAGGGGCAGAGGGAAUUCCCGGUGUAGCGGUGAAAUGCGUAGAUAUCGGGAAGAACACCAGUGGCGAAGGCGCUCUGCUGGGCCAUAACUGACGCUCAUGGACGAAAGCCAGGGGAGCGAAAGGGAUUAGAUACCCCUGUAGUCCUGGCCGUAAACGAUGAACACUAGGUGUCGGGGGAAUCGACCCCCUCGGUGUCGUAGCCAACGCGUUAAGUGUUCCGCCUGGGGAGUACGCACGCAAGUGUGAAACUCAAAGGAAUUGACGGGGGCCCGCACAAGCGGUGGAGUAUGUGGUUUAAUUCGAUGCAACGCGAAGAACCUUACCAGGGUUUGACAUCCUGCGAAUCUUUUGGAAACAGAAGAGUGCCUUCGGGAGCGCAGAGACAGGUGGUGCAUGGCUGUCGUCAGCUCGUGUCGUGAGAUGUUGGGUUAAGUCCCGCAACGAGCGCAACCCACGUCUUUAGUUGCCAGCAUUGAGUUGGGCACUCUAGAGAGACCGCCGGUGAUAAACCGGAGGAAGGUGUGGAUGACGUCAAGUCAUCAUGCCCCUUACAUCCUGGGCUACACACGUACUACAAUGCUACGGACAGAGGGCAGCAAACUCGCGAGAGCUAGCAAAUCCCAUAAACCGUGGCUCAGUUCAGAUCGUAGGCUGCAACUCGCCUACGUGAAGGAGGAAUCGCUAGUAAUCGCAGGUCAGCAUACUGCGGUGAAUACGUUCCCGGGCCUUGUACACACCGCCCGUCACACCAUGGAAGUUGGCCAUGCCCGAAGUCGUUACUCCAACCCUUGUGGAGGAGGACGCCGAAGGUGGGGCUGAUGACUGGGGUGAAGUCGUAACAAGGUAGCCGUAGAAUCG